ACUACUGAGCCAUCUCACCUGCCCAAAAAAACACUUUAAAAAUUACACAUUGAGGGGCUGGUGAGAUGGCUCAGUGGU
rnacentral:pre_miRNA from 1 species